ACGCUGGCGGCGUGCUUAACACAUGCAAGUCGAACGAUGAAGCCUAGCUUGCUAGGUGGAUUAGUGGCGAACGGGUGAGUAAUACGUGAGUAACCUACCUUUAACUCUGGGAUAAGCCCGGGAAACUGGGUCUAAUACCGGAUACGACCAAUCUCCGCAUGGGGUGUUGGUGGAAAGCGUUAUGUAGUGGUUAUAGAUGGGCUCACGGCCUAUCAGCUUGUUGGUGAGGUAACGGCUCACCAAGGCGACGACGGGUAGCCGGCCUGAGAGGGUGACCGGCCACACUGGGACUGAGACACGGCCCAGACUCCUACGGGAGGCAGCAGUGGGGAAUAUUGCACAAUGGGCGCAAGCCUGAUGCAGCGACGCCGCGUGAGGGAUGACGGCCUUCGGGUUGUAAACCUCUGUUAGCAGGGAAGAAGAGAGAUUGACGGUACCUGCAGAGAAAGCGCCGGCUAACUACGUGCCAGCAGCCGCGGUAAUACGUAGGGCGCGAGCGUUGUCCGGAAUUAUUGGGCGUAAAGAGCUUGUAGGCGGUUUGUCGCGUCUGCUGUGAAAGGCCGGAGCUUAACUCCGUGUAUUGCAGUGGGUACGGGCAGACUAGAGUGCAGUAGGGGAGACUGGAAUUCCUGGUGUAGCGGUGGAAUGCGCAGAUAUCAGGAGGAACACCGAUGGCGAAGGCAGGUCUCUGGGCUGUAACUGACGCUGAGAAGCGAAAGCAUGGGGAGCGAACAGGAUUAGAUACCCUGGUAGUCCAUGCCGUAAACGUUGGGCACUAGGUGUGGGGGACAUUCCACGUUUUCCGCGCCGUAGCUAACGCAUUAAGUGCCCCGCCUGGGGAGUACGGCCGCAAGGCUAAAACUCAAAGAAAUUGACGGGGGCCCGCACAAGCGGCGGAGCAUGCGGAUUAAUUCGAUGCAACGCG
rnacentral:rRNA from 1 species